rnacentral:rRNA from 1 species
UCUUUCUUUGCUGGCGACCGGCGCACGGGUGAGUAACACGUAUCCAACCUGCCCUUUACUCGGGGAUAGCCUUUCGAAAGGAAGAUUAAUACCCGAUAGUAUAAUGAUUCCGCAUGGUUUCAUUAUUAAAGGAUUCCGGUAAAGGAUGGGGAUGCGUUCCAUUAGGUUGUUGGUGAGGUAACGGCUCACCAAGCCUUCGAUGGAUAGGGGUUCUGAGAGGAAGGUCCCCCACAUUGGAACUGAGACACGGUCCAA